rnacentral:rRNA from 1 species
UACAGAGGUCUCAAGCGUUGUUCGGAUUCAUUGGGCGUAAAGGGGUGCGUAGGUGGCGCCGUAAGUCAGGUGUGAAAUUUCGGAGCUUAACUCCGAAACUGCAUUUGAUACUGCGGUGCUUGAGGACUGGAGAGGAGACUGGAAUUUACGGUGUAGCAGUGAAAUGCGUAGAGAUCGUAAGGAAGACCAGGUGGCGAAGGCGGGUCUCUGGACAGUUCCUGACACUGAGGCACGAAGGCCAGGGGAGCAAACGGG